AUAGCAUUUUUCGUUUAAUUUCCUUUUGUUUUCAAUUAAUGUUCAAAUGUCCGUAUUGAUUCAUAUCAUGAAAUGUUUCCUCAGGAAGACAGACUUUCUUAAUUAUCGCCAUUGUUUUGACUGAAGGCGUCAAAAAAGCAAAUAAAAUGCUUUAGAAUAAUAUCCCAGACACAUUUCUCCUGACAACAGUGCUUUUGCUUUAUUCUGAAGAGAAGAACUAACAUAAACAAGUACAAAACUAAACAUACUUGAAGCUUUGCUAUUUGUGAAUGGUCUUUUAAGGUAUACCUUGAAUUCCUAUGUUUCUGAAUUCCCCCUACUGUUGUAAUAUACCUGCAAAAUGGUAUAUGAACAAGCUUACCUGGAUCAAGACCAUGGCUCUCAAGCAAUGACUGUCCUUUGUGAAUUAUGGAAAAAACAAACUCUCUGUGAUGCUACUGUUCAAGCUGGAUCAUAUAAGAUUAAAGUUCACAAGACAGUGCUAAUGGUGGCUAGUCCAACGUUGUUGGCGUUGUGUCAGAAUGGACCUUGUGAAGGACAUCUUCAAGUUCAAUUACCAAUUAAUCUCCGUGGUGUGGAUGCUCUUCACUGUUUUAUAAUGUAUCUUUAUGAAGGACUCCUAAAUUUAAAUGAAGAGAGUGUAAUGGAGGUGCUUAAUAUAGCAUCUUAUCUUCAAGUAGAAACUGUAGUAAAAUUUUGUCUCUCUUUCUUGGACUCUGCAAAGGAACAAAAUGUUGUACUUAAAGCUGCUCUCUCCUCUCCAUAUGACACUUGUUUGUAUAAAGUACUUAAUGAAUCAUUAUCCAAAUCAUCAGAAUCAAUCACUAAUAAAAAUAGUAAUUGGGUUUACCAACCUGAAAGUACCAAUAUUAAAACUAAAAUCAUCCAUAAACCUGUCAGUUUGUCCUCAUCAGAAACAAGCAUUGUUAUUUCUGAACGGAAAGAUAAAAGCUUUUAUGUUGAAAAUUUAAAUUUCAAGGGCAACUCACUUUCCUCUUCUCAGGCUGGAGAAAGUUCUUCAUCUAAGAAUGUUUCUGAAGCUUCAAAUGAAGCCGUCCAAAUACAGUAUAAUAUAAUUGAUGAUGAAAUCAAACCAAAUAUAGCACCCCAGAAUUCUUCAACUUCUGAAAACUUUGUAGUACAAGAAAUAUCAGAAACAUACUCAUUUUCACAAAAUAACAAUCAUUCUUCUCCCUCAUCUGAUUCUCAUUUAUUAAAAUUAAAAGAAACCAAUCAUAAAGUUGACUCAAAAUUGCAUCAUAGUGAUCUGGUCCAUGACAAGCAAUCUAGUCCACUGUUGGAUCAAAAGGGUGAAGAUGGUCAGAGUAUUGCUGAUUAUUCUUACAAAAUAUCCUCAUCCCCUGAAAUGUCAAGGCAAGUACGUAUAAAUACAUUAGAUGAAAGUGACUGUAACACUGAAGAAGUACUUUCAUUAGAGCUUAGUGGCUGUGAUCUUUUAUCAUCUCAGAUACAACCAAAUUUGCCAUCCUCUGUCAAUUUACUUGAGUGCCCCACAUGUAAAAAGACAUUUUCAACUAAAGGGAACUUGAAGACUCACCAGAGGAAGCAUGAAGGAACACUUUUCAAAUGUCCUCGAUGUCCACGAAAAUUCUUCAGCCAAAGUCUUCUGAAUGAACAUCUUAAAAUUCACGAUGGGAAAGUUUAUAACUGUGAUCACUGUGGGAAAGAGUUUUUUACCAGAUGGGGUAUAAGAUUGCAUCAGAUGUCUCAUGACGGUCACUACAAAAUGACUUGUAAGAUAUGUGGGCGUGGUUUCAAUUCCCGAAGUACUUUCGAAGCUCACCAGAAUAUGCAUGAAGAUAACCGACCGUAUAGGUGUGAACAUUGCAGGAAAUGUUUUUAUAACAAUCGAUAUCUUAAAAAACAUUUAAAGAUUUGCAACAUUCCCUUAAAAAAAUUAUAAAUGUAAUUUAUUCAUCAAGAGAAUUCAAACGAAAGUGUUACUCUUGAAGAACAUUUGGAGAGUCACAACAACCAACAAAAGCACUGAUUGCCUUCUCACAUUUUAUUUUUUUUUUUGUUUUCCAGAGCUCCAUUUAAUUUCAUUCAUAUUCUCUAAAAAGUUACUAUCAUCAGAAAAGGAGAGCUAACCCUUAGCUCCUCUGUUCUAUUUGCAUCUCAACAUCCAAACAAUAUCCCUGCUUGAAGGGUCACACUUGAUAACAAGUACAAUCUCUCCUCUCCUAUACUGUCAUUAGCUCUCCUUUCUGUUCUUGUAUAUUCCAAAAGCACUAAUUUAACUUAGAAAAAUAGAUUAGUGUGCCUUGUGUAUAAUUGGUUACCAAAUAUGGAGUUGUUUAAACUUAUUUCAUUAGUGACAGCCAUUGUACCUGACUUACCAAUUCUGUUUACGGUUGGUGCUGAGUGUGUGGUAUGUCAUUGGUUUACCUAUGUUUCAAUAUUGUAAUUUAUAAAGGAAACUUCAUUCUGCAGUCUUUUGGGAUUCUAAUUGUUGCAUCAUCUAUCUUGCAACCCAACAACUAAUUCCUCUACAAGGUUAUAUUAUAUUGAAAUUCUGGAUGAAAAAUAAAAGGCCAUAGGUUCAGCUCUCAAGUUAGGGGUAGAUGUAUAUUUAAAGAUGAUGCAUCUAAUAAUUUUAUUUAUUCAACCUUUCGUUACUGUAUUCAUUUUGAAAUGUUCUGUGUUUCUUUCAGUUACUUUAAAUAUAAUAAAAAAUUUAGUAAAAUAACUUAGUUAUCAUUCAGCUAGUGUUAGGAAUAUAAAUUGUGACUAAGGUUUGGUGGUCAUUUGUACUCAGAGCCAGAGCCGGUUUCAGCUGGGUUGGUAACGAAAAGGUUAAUUCUAUAUCAGGAUUAAUGAACAGCAGUGUUGUUAUAGGUUUCCAAUGUGGUAAAUUACUGGUUUUCUCCUUUUCUGAAGAAUAAUAAAUAGUCUGUAACUUGAUGCAGAAAAAAUAUCCAAAAGAAAUUUGUAAAAUGCUAGUUUUUAAUUUAAUAUGCUGAUGUCCAUAUCUUUUUUCAAUAUAUAUUGGCAAAAGAUAUUCACAUGCAUAAAUACAUGUACAGAAAUAUAUCAUCAUUGUGAUCAUUAUCAUUGUUGUUGUCAUCAUCUUUAUGUCUGCUUUCCAUGCUGGCAUAGAUUGGCUGAGUCAUCAAUUGGGAGUCAUCAAGUGAGAUUGUAGUCGUGGCUGAUGCCUGUGUUUCAAAACUGUCACCUGUGCUGCUCCACAGACUGAUGAACAUGUGUCAUUCAGCUAGGUUUCUACAACUGGAUGCACUUCCUAUUGUUAACUACUUUACAGACUGUACUGAAGGUGUUUUUUCAUGUUACCAUUACUAGAGGAGUUGAUUAAAGAAACCUCAAAACUGUGCAUUUUUUGGUUUCGCAGCAUCGCAGUCCUUUGUUAUUUGGUAUGCACACUUUACCAGAGAAAACUGCCCAAAUUCGUUGUGUAUGUUAUGUUUUCUGGUAAGUUUUUUUUGUUUUGGUUUUGGUUGGUGCUCUUCUUGUGACCAACAACUUUACAGUAUGGGCUGGAUGCAUUUUAUCAUAUCAGAAGUAUCAAAGAGAUUGUUUGCAGCAGGAUUAUAGAGUCUUCCUAUUUUGUGUCAGUUUUUAUUUAGAGAUACUGUUCUCUUAGACAGGCUGCCUGCACUGCUGCUUGUGGAGUCCACAUGUUCCCUGUUUGUACCUUCCAUUUUUUUAUACAGCUUGAUGCCCUUUCUAUCAUCAACUACUUUUUAGUAAAUACAAGUAGCAGUAGUUGGUCAGUUUUGAUUUUGUGAUGAUGUUGGUCAACAGUCUGUCUAACACUCCCACACCAUGACCCCAACAGCCAAUGUGCACAAUUUAUGUGUGUUAAAAUAUAGUUAAUGCAAAAAUCUCUAAAGUCCUCAGAAGGCUUUAUAGGGUAAACUGUUUAGCACUGGUUUUAUGGUCUUAAGCAGAUAAGGAAUAAAUCUUCACCUGCAUAAGAUAACAGUCUAUUGCUGGUAUUCCAGGGUAACUAUUCUGGACUUGUGAUUAGAAUGUUGCAGGAAAGAUAUGUGAGAGAGGUGAGUGACAUGCAUAGACUGGUGAUGUUAUUGUAAAGAAUCACUAGAUGGAUUCUUCAAGAUCAGUCAACUAGGAUAGAUCAAGAUAAUAUCUAAUACUGUCAGUUGGUCAGAUUGGGAAUUCAGCCGGGAAGUUUAAUGAUGGUUGCUUCUGAUAGUGUCCUAUGGAGGAAAUGUCUGAGGUCUCUGCUCCACGACUCUCUCAGGAAUAAUAGGCAGUGAAGAUGGAUGGAUUGUUGGAUAUUCUGAACAGUGAGCAGACCUUACACACCAUCCGCAAUCCUAUUGAGGUGGAAUUAGAGAGUAGUUCAUCUCCAACGGUCUAUGAAAUUGA